rnacentral:rRNA from 1 species
AUUGAACGCUGGCGGCAGGCUUAAUACAUGCAAGUCGAGCGAGCGGCGGACGGGUGAGUAAUGUCUGGGAAACUGCCUGAUGGAGGGGGAUAACUACUGGAACCGGUAGCUAUUACCGCAAACCAUCAGAUGUGCCCAGGUGGGAUUAGCUAGUGGGUGGGGUAAUGGCUCACCUAGGCGACGAUCCCUAGCUGGCCUGAGAGGAUGACCGGCCACACUGGAACUGAGACACGGUCCAGACUCCUACGGGAGGCAGCAGUGGGGAAUAUUGCGCAAUGGGCGAAAGCCUGAUGCAGCAAUGCCGCGUGAGUGAAGAAGGCCUUCGGGUCGUAAAACACUGUUAGCGAGGAGGCGGUACUCAAAGAGAAAGCCCCGGCUAACUCCGUGCCAGCAGCCGCGGUAAUUC